AAACAAUCGCCAACGCCAAGGAUUUGGAUUCCAAUAAUCUCAUAAUUCACUGGAUAAGUUUUUCUCCGACAACGUCAACUCCUUUUGAAAAAACUGCUUACUCACCCUUUUCUUAACCGUUUACUUUGAACCAUUCCAAACCUCCAACCGUCUCCCAGCUCCCCUACUCUAUCUUUCCAAGAAAAUCCCUUCUUCUUUUUCUCUUUCAUGUCUUUACCAAACCCAUUACCCAACCAUUUUCUUUUUGCUUUUUAGUUCAGGGGUGGUGAUGGUGCUGGAGAUGCUUUCAAGGCCUCUAGAGAGGUGUUUUAAAGGUGGAGAUGGUGGGGAUGCACUUCUAUGGCACAUGGACUUGAAGCCUCAUGCUUCAGGGGAUUAUUCAAUUGCUGUUGUACAAGCUAACUCCUUGCUAGAAGACCAAGGGCAGAUCUUCACUUCUCCUUCUGCCACUUAUGUUGGUGUCUAUGAUGGCCAUGGUGGCCCCGAGGCUUCUCGGUUUAUUGCUGAUAAUCUAUUCCCUUUUAUCCACAAGUUCGCAACAGAACAAGGUGGACUAUCAGCAGAUGCUAUAAGGAAGGCAUUUGAUGCAACAGAAGAGGAAUUCUUGCAUUUGGUAAAGCGAUCAUGGACAGCUCAGCCUCAGAUAGCUUCAGUCGGUUCCUGUUGCCUUGUUGGGGCAAUAUCAAAUGGUAUUUUGUAUGUGGCAAAUCUUGGGGACUCGAGGGCUGUGCUUGGCAAGAGAGUAUCUGAAGGCAAGACAAGUAGUGCAGUGGUGGCUGAACGUUUAUCUACUGAUCAUAACGUCUGCGUUGAGGAGGUGAGGAAGGAGGUGGCAGCACUCCAUCCUGAUGAUUCACACAUUGUGGUUUAUACUCGUGGUGUUUGGCGGAUAAAGGGCAUAAUUCAGGUUUCAAGAUCAAUAGGAGAUGUAUAUCUAAAGAAACCUGAGUUCAACAGAGAUCCUCUUUUCCAGCAAUUUGGAUUGCCUGUUCCAUUGAAAAGGCCCGUGAUGACAGCAGAACCCUCAAUAUUGGUUCGACAGUUAAGGCCACAGGACUUGUUCUUGAUAUUUGCUUCAGAUGGUCUUUGGGAGCAAUUGAGCGAUGAAACAGUUGUAGAUAUAGUUUUGAAGAACCCGCGAGCUGGGAUAGCAAGGCGAUUAAUAAGGGCUGCCCUGCGGGAGGCUGCAAGGAAAAGAGAAAUGAGAUAUGACGACAUAAAAAGAAUUGAAAAAGGAGUGAGGCGCCAUUUCCACGAUGAUAUUACCGUCAUUGUUUUGUACCUGGAUCAUCCGCUAGGUCCUUCGAAUGGAAGAUUCAAAGAUCACAGUGUUGUUGAAUGCACAAGUGCCCCUGCUGAUAUCUUCUCACUAGAUGUAGUAGAUGAAGGCCAAUGUUAGCUUCAUAUUUCUCUCUGAACAAAGACUACAGGAAAUUGGUAAUAUGAUAGCUGGUGAAUACAGAUAAUAAAUUAUGGUUACAUGAUUCCUCUGCUUUAGGACAGGAUGAAAUUGAAUUAAUAAAUCAAAGGAGGGGAAGGUUGUAUGUAUGUAGUUUUCAGUUUUGUUUUGAAAAGUUCCAUUGUAAACUAUUUUUGCUCAUUGUUUAUCAUCCUCAUAGAAUUUACAGAAAGUGUAGUAAACUUUAUGAUGGAAUGCAGUUGAAUUGAAAGAGCUGUGAAAUUUGACG
rnacentral:misc_RNA from 1 species